CCCUUAGAUGUUCUGGGCCGCACGCGCGCUACAAUGAUGAAUUCAACGAGUUUAUAACCUUGGUUGAAAAGCCUGGGUAAUCUUUUGAACUUUCGUCGUGAUGGGGCUAGACCCUUGCAAUUAUUGGUCUCCAACGAGGAAUUCCUAGUAAACGCAAGUCAUCAGCUUGCAUUGAUUACGUCCCUGCCCUUUGUACACACCGCCCGUCGCUACUACCGAUUGGAUGGUUUAGUGAGGCCCUCGGAUCGGCCCCGCCGGGGUCGGCCCACGGCCCUGGCGGAGCGCUGAGAAGACGGUCGAACUUGACUAUCUAGAGGAAGUAAAAGUCGUAACA
rnacentral:rRNA from 1 species